rnacentral:rRNA from 1 species
UGAAUACGAGAUGCUACGGCGUCGAAGCAGUGUAUGUCAGACUUCCAAGAAAAGCUCGCAAUGUCAUAAAUAAAGAAUGCCUGUACCAUAACCGACACAGGUGGGUAGGUAGAGUAUACUAAGGGGCGCGAGAUAACUCUCUCUAAGGAACUCGGCAAAAUAACUCCGUAACUUCGGGAGAAGGAGUGCCUUCUUUAAGAAGGUUGCAAUAACAAGAUCCAAGCAACUGUUUAUCAAAAACACAGGUCUCCGCUAAGUCGUAAGACGAUGUAUGGGGGCUGACGCCUGCCCAGUGCCAGAAGGUUAAAGAAGCUGGUUAGCAAUAGCGAAGCUGGUGACUGAAGCCCUGGUGAACGGCGGCCGUAACAAUAACGGUCCUAAGGUAGCGAAAUUCCUUGUCGGGUAAGUUCCGACCCGCACGAAAGGCGUAAUGAUUUGGAUACUGUCUCGGAGAGGGACUCGGUGAAAUAGACUUGUCUGUGAAGAUGCGGACUACCUGCACCAGGACAGAAAGACCCUAUGAAGCUUUACUGUAACCUGAAAUUGAAAUUGGACUUUAUUUGCGCAGUAUAGGUGGGAGGCGUUGAAAGUAAUCUUGCGGGAUUAGUGGAGCCAUCAGUGAGAUACCACUCCUAUAAUGUUAGAUUUCUAACUUUGGAUCAUGAUCUGGUCAAAGAACAGUUUCAGGCGGGCAGUUUGACUGGGGCGGUCGCCUCCCAAAUGGUAACGGAGGCGUACAAAGGUUUCCUCUGAACGGGUAGAAAUCGUAUCUAGAGUGUAAAGGCAUAAGGAAGCUUGACUGUGAGACCUACAAGUCGAGCAGGGACGAAAGUCGGUCUUAGUGAUCUGACGGUGCUGAGUGGAAAGGCCGUCACUCAACGGAUAAAAGUUACUCUAGGAUAACAGGCUGAUCUCCCCCAAGAGUUCACAUCGACGGGGAGGUUUGGCACCUCGAUGUCGGCUCAUCGCAUCCUGGGGCGGUAGUACGUCCCAAGGGUUGGGCUGUUCGCCCAUGAAAGCGGUACGCGAGCUGGGUUCAGGACGUCGUGAGACAGUUCGGUCCAUAUCCGGUGUAGGCGUUAGAAUAUUGAGAGGAGCCUUCUCUAGUACGAGAGGACCGAGAAGGACAUACCUCUGGUGUACCAGUUAUCGUGCCAACGGUAAACGCUGGGUAGCUAUGUAUGGAGAGGAUAACCGCUGAAAGCAUCUAAGUGGGAAGCCCACCUCAAGAUGAG